UACGUAGGUGGCAAGCGUUGUCCGGAUUUAUUGGGUUUAAAGGGUGCGUAGGCGGUUUUUUAAGUCAGUGGUGAAAUACGGCAGCUCAACUGUCGAGGUGCCAUUGAUACUGGGAAACUUGAGUACUGAUGAGGUAGGCGGAAUGGACGGUGUAGCGGUGAAAUGCUUAGAUAUCGUCCAGAACACCGAUAGCGAAGGCAGCUUACUAAGGAGUAACUGACGCUGAGGCACGAAAGUGUGGGAGAUCAAAACAGGA
rnacentral:rRNA from 1 species